rnacentral:misc_RNA from 1 species
GAUCCAAAGCAAGCAAAUUUCCAAAGAUAACAAGAAUCUCUAUACAGCACAUCAAGAUAAUAACACUCUGAACUAUUGUAAGAUAAGAGAAGAUUAGAAGCAAUUUUCCAAUUUUUUGCUCCAAAAAUAUUUACAACGAGCACGAGUUUUCCAGCUGCAAUUCCAAAUAAAAUAGUGUAACUUUUCAUGUCUGUUACUAUUA